CCCUAAACGAUGUACACUAGUUGUUGCGAUGCAAGUCAUUGCAGUGAUGCAGCUAACGCAUUAAGUGUACCGCCUGGGGAGUACGGUCGCAAGAUUAAAACUCAAAGGAAUAGACGGGGACCCGCACAAGUGGUGGAGCAUGUGGUUUAAUUCGAAGAUACGCGAAGAACCUUACCUGGGCUUGACAUCCCGAGAACCUCUGAGAGAUCAGAGGGUGCUAGUUUACUAGAACUCGGUGACAGGUGCUGCACGGCUGUCGUCAGCUCGUGUCGUGAGAUGUUGGGUUAAGUCCCGCAACGAGCGCAACCCUCGUCCUUAGUUGCUAACAGUUCGGCUGAGCACUCUAAGGAGACUGCCUUCGUAAGGAGGAGGAAGGUGAGGACGACGUCAAGUCAUCAUGGCCCUUAUGCCCAGGGCGACACACGUGCUACAAUGGGGAGGACAAUGAGAAGCAAUACCGCGAGGUGGAGCAAAUCUAUAAACCUUCUCUCAGUUCGGAUAGCACUCUGCAACUCGAGUGCUUGAAGCUGGAAUCACUAGUAAUCGUAGAUCAGCCAUGCUACGGUGAAUACGUUCCCGGGUCUUGUACUCACCGCCCGU
rnacentral:rRNA from 1 species